GGUGAGUAACACGUGGAUAACCUACCUAUAAGACUGGGAUAACUUCGGGAAACCGGAGCUAAUACCGGAUAGUAUAUUGAACUGCAUGGUUCAAUAGUGAAAGACGGUUUUGCUGUCACUUAUAGAUGGAUCCGCGCCGCAUUAGCUAGUUGGUAAGGUAACGGCUUACCAAGGCAACGAUGCGUAGCCGACCUGAGAGGGUGAUCGGCCACACUGGAACUGAGACACGGUCCAG
rnacentral:rRNA from 1 species